CUGACCUCAAAUCAGGUAGGACUACCCGCUGAACUUAAGCAUAUCAAUAAGCGGAGGAAAAGAAACUAACAAGGAUUCCCCUAGUAACGGCGAGUGAACCGGGAAGAGCUCAAAUUUGAAAUCUGGCGUCCUCAGGGCGUCCGAGUUGUAAUCUAUAGAGGCGUUUUCCGUGCCGGACCGUGUCCAAGUCCCUUGGAACAGGGUAUCAAAGAGGGUGACAAUCCCGUACUUGACACGACUACCGGUGCUCUGUGAUACGUCUUCUACGAGUCGAGUUGUUUGGGAAUGCAGCUCAAAAUGGGUGGUGAGUUCCAUCUAAAGCUAAAUAUUGGCGAGAGACCGAUAGCGAACAAGUACCGUGAGGGAAAGAUGAAAAGCACUUUGGAAAGAGAGUUAAACAGUACGUGAAAUUGUUGAAAGGGAAACGAUUGAAGUCAGUCGUGACCGAGAGGCUCAGCCGGCUCUGCCGGUGUAUUCCCCUCGGUCGGGUCAACAUCAGUUUUGUCCGGUGGAUAAGGGCGGCAGGAAUGUGGCACCCUCGGGUGUGUUAUAGCCUGCUGUCGCAUACACCGGGUGAGACUGAGGAACGCAGCUCGCCUUUAUGGCCGGGGCCCGCCCACGUACGAGCUUAGGAUGUUGACGUAAUGGCUUUAAACGACCCGUCUUGAAACACGGACC
rnacentral:rRNA from 1 species